UACCAGCUCUCCGAGUGGUGUGGAUGUUUAUUUGGCCUAAAGCAUCCGUAGCUGGCUGGACAAGUCCCCUGUUAAAUCCACCGAUUCAAUCGUUGGAGUGCGGGGGAUACUGUUCGGCUAGGGGACGGGAGAGGCAGACGGUAUUUUUUGGGUAGGGGUGAAAUCCUAUAAUCCCAGGAAGACCACCAGUGGCGAAGGCUGUCUGCUAGAACGCGCCCGACGGUGAGGGAUGAAAGCUGGGGGAGCGAACCGGAUUAGAUACCCGGGUAGUCCCAGCUGUAAACGAUGCAGGCUAGGUGUUUGGACGGCCACGCGCCGUUCUAGUGCCGCAGGGAAGCCGUUAAGCCUGCCGCCUGGGGAGUACGGCCGCAAGGCUGAAACUUAAAGGAAUUGGCGGGGAGCACCACAAGGGGUGAAGCUUGCGGUUU
rnacentral:rRNA from 1 species